rfam:Lupinus angustifolius cultivar Tanjil contig_45139, whole genome shotgun sequence.
ACUGUUCCCUGGGAUUGGCUUUAAGCUUUUCAUGCGUAGCUUAGGUGGAGGGCGAAGAAGGCCUCCUUUCGGGGGGAUCGAUCCAUCAGUGAGAUACCACUCUGAAGAGCUAGAAUUCUAACCUUUUUCUAGGACCUACGGGCCAAGGGACAAUAUUAGGUAGACAGUUUCUAUGGGGUGUAGGCCUCCCAAAAGAUAACGGAGGCGUGCAAAGGUUUCCUCAGGCCAACUGGAGAUUGGCCCUCAAGUGCAAGGGAGGAAGGGAGCUUGACUUCAAGGCACACCAGUCGUGCAGGGACGAAAGUCGGCCUUAGUGAUCUGACGAUGCCGAGUGGAAGGGUGGUCGAAUAUAUA